rnacentral:lncRNA from 1 species
UGAAUCGGAUAAAUUCUCCUUCAGAAUUGAAAUUUAAGUAGGAACCGUCUUGAUAUGGAAAGACGGGAGCAGCAGAGGAGGAGGCAACAUUUUUGCCAGAGCGAGAUCGCUUUUGGUGUCUUGACAUUUUUGAAGAAAUAUUUGAGAGUUAACUUUGAGAGUUUUUGAAAGAGGUCAAGAAAUUUUGAAGCUUUGAAUUGAUUUUGAG